rnacentral:lncRNA from 1 species
CGAGUUAGUCUUUGAUCAAUAUAGGAGGUCAAUAUAUAACCUUUGGAAAAAUGCGAAAAUUUGAUAUUGAAGAGAAAUCUCUUCUAUCCAUAAACUGAAAUUGAAGAGAAAUCUUCAUCAUUAUCACUCUGAAAAUUUCAAUAAACCAAUUAUUCCUGUGUAUAAUUACAGAGUCUUAAUUAUUCUGUAAAAGUUUUCUAAUAGUUCCAGUUGAAGAAAUGCUCAUAGUCUCCUCCUGUUUAUCGCAACUGCAAUGUCCAUUCUGGCAAAAGGGGAUUGCGCCAUGACCGCAAGAAUUAAAGCAAUCCCUAAAUGUUGUGCAUGGUUCACCAAACAAGACCGAACCUUCCACACUCUGCAAGCCUAUAAACAAAUAUUAAUUAAUUUUUUGUUAUAAAGUAUUAAAAAAUUUAUGUUUAAGUAGAAAAAUAAUACAACUUUAUAGGCCGGUUUAGAAAAAAUGUGAUAAGUUGCAAUGUCUCAAAUCCCAAACUAUUUCGGAUUUGCUAUAUUAAUUAUAUACUUGAAACUCCAAAAAUUAAAUUAAUUUGUAUUAUGAAAUACUUUUAUGUUAAGAAUUCAAUUUCUUAUUUAGGCAUACAAACAUAUAUAGAAUUAGAAUUUUCGUUUGAUGAGAAAGUAAAAGAGGGAGAAAUAUAUACCUAUUGUGAUAAGCAUCAAACAAACCAUGGAAAACAAAGUGAUGGAUCCCUUCCACAUAGCCAUAUUGAAAACUGAAAAGUGUGCAACAAAUUUUUGAUGAGUU